UAGUCCACGCCGUAAACGAUGAGUGUUAGAUGCCGGGCUUAGCUCGGUGUCACAGCUAACGCGUUAAACACUCCGCCUGGGGAGUACGGUCGCAAGACUAAAACUCAAAGGAAUUGACGGGGACCCGCACAAGCGGUGGAGCAUGUGGUUUAAUUCGAUGCAACGCGAAGAACCUUACCACCCUUUGACAUCUUGAUCAUGAUUAGCAGAGAUGCUUUUUGCGGUUCGGCCGGAUCAAUGACAGGUGUUGCAUGGCUGUCGUCAGCUCGUGUCGUGAGAUGUUGGGUUAAGUCCCGCAACGAGCGCAACCCUCAUCCUUUGUUGCCAUCAGGUUAUGCUGGGGACUCUAAGGAAACUGCUCGUGAUAAGCGAGAGGAAGGUGGGGGAUGACGUCAAGUCAUCAUGGCCCUUACAGGGGUGGGGCUACGACACGUGCUACAAUGGCUUUACAAUGGGCUGGCUACCUCGCGAGGGAUGCGAAUCUCAAAAACNCGCC
rnacentral:rRNA from 1 species